rnacentral:rRNA from 1 species
UUAGUCUUUUAAUUUGGGACUGGAAUGAAAGAGUAAACCGGGAGAAUUUCUUUUUAUCUAAAAAAAUGAAUUUUACUUUUUAGUAAGAAGGCUAAAAUAUUUCUUUUAGACAAGAAGACCCUAUAAAACUUUAUAUUUUCUUUAUUUUAAAAAUAAAGCAAAGUAUUUCACUGGGGCGGUGAGGAAAAAAUCUUUCUUUUAGAAAAUAAACCCUCUCGUUUUAAUACCUAGAAUUUCUAAAGUAGAAAUAAGUUACUUUAGGGAUAACAGCUUAAUUCACUUAGAAAGAUCAAAUUGACAAGUGAGUUUAUGACCUCGAUGUUGAAUUAAAAUUCCUUUUUCGCGCAAAAGUUAAGAAGGA